AGAUUGCAGUAUCCGUGUUUUGUCGACGCCAUUUGAUGUCCACCUAAUUGUCGUCUACUUCUGGCGUCGACAAUUCAGCCAAAUACCACCUGCUCUGCACAUGGCCAAGGAAAAGAAACCCGCCCCACUCCUCUUUCUCUUUCUUAAUCAUCUUCUACUUUUCUCUCAACCCUAACCCCCAACAACUCUCUCCCUUCUCAGCCUCAAAAGUUCUCGAUCUACUCCGCGCUUGAAGAAUUUGCCGCAAUUAUAAGAAUUACAACAAGCUGUAAACAAAAUUCAAACAUUUUGAGAUCGAUCUAACAAAACAAAAUUCUUUGCCGAAAAUUCCAUCUCGAUUUUAAGGUAUUAUCUUAUAUAUAAUGGUAGAAGUAUCAUAAGCCUAAUAUCCGGAAAUACAUAAUAAUAUGAAGUAUCCUUGUCAUCAACUAUCGCUAAUACUUCAGCCUCACUCUGUUGCAAGUUCUGGUCUGUGCUUCUCUAUUGUUGUUGCUGUCCUGUUUGCUGAAGCGUGGUUCUGGUGCUUUGCUUCUUUUCUGGUUGCACUGCUGCUUUCUUUGCUAGGUUCUGCUGCUACUCUUUGCUGCUGCUGCUGCUGCGUCUUUGUUGUAGCUGCGGAUGGCUUGUUUGUAGUUUUGACUGUUGUUUUUUGCUUUGCGUUUUAGCUUGGGUUGCGGGUUUGUGCGCCCUUUGCUUCUUGUUUCGUUGGUUGAAUAUUGUGUGGUUUCUACCUUUUGGUAAUAAAUAUAUCUUAUUUACCAAAAAAAAAACUAUCGCUAAUACUUCAUUGGUUAUAAAACAUAUUACUACUAAGCAACUUUGCCCUCUUCUAGUUUGAUCCGAUAACCAUGUUUCCCUUAAAGGCUAAUAAUGUUGCAAUCCAUGUCCAUAUUUUUUUAGAAGAUGAUCAAAAUACUGGUUUCUAUGAGGUUGGAUCUCCUCAUAAAGGAUAUUAGGUAUUUGUCUCUGUGUGUCUGGUGCUGCCGGAAAGGUGAUUUUCUUACUACUUUGUGUUAGCCUGUUACUAGUCCAUAUUUCUGUCAAACUUCUUAAAUCAUUAGACCAUCAGUAAACAAACAUUACCGACCAUAAGAGUUGUUUGCAGUCUGUUUGAACUACUCAACCAUUUUAUGAAACAAUGUCUGGGAAGAGAUAGUCUAUUCCAUAUAAUAAAACACCAUUCCUGAGUUAUAUAAAUCUCACAAAGUUGCACUCUUUUUGUAAAUUUUGAGUAUCUAAUUUAUGUAGGACUUAUUAUCAUUAACUAUCUAGAUUGGUAUUGGUAAUUUAUCUAGGCCUUCAUAUUUAUAUUUGGCCUUUUAUCAUUAACUAUCUAAUUGAAUGUUAUAAUGGAAUCAAAAGGGGUUAAAGAAGAUUCCAGUAGUAGUAAUAGUAAAUUAUUGGGGGUGCCGUUUCAUAAGUGUGUGUGUGUUAUCUUAAUAUCAUUACUUCACCCCUCUGGUCAAGCAUUUGAUAUUUCUAUAUAAAACUUGAAUCUUUUGAAUUCCUAGAAAGAAUGACUGAUUUGCUAAAAAGUGCUUGUAUUAGGUGUUUACAAGAGCAUAUUCAAUUAGGUGAUUAAAGAGGGCGGGUAUGCCAAACUACAAAUUAUAAGUUCACUUUUCAACCUUUUCGAAUUGCUUUCUGUCAAGAACUUAGUUAGGUGUUAUUGUACCUUUAUGUUUCUCGAAUGAAGGUGCCUCUACCCCAAGGGGACUUCAAACUAUUGGCCUUAAUUGCUUGUCUAGGGCCUGGUACCGUCUUUGAGCAGUCGCGUUGCUUGUAAGAGGUAGUCAAUAGCUUGGUUUACUUAAUUUGGGAUGAAAUUAUAGCCUGUAAAUUUUUAGUCUUUCUAAUUUCCCGUUUUCUAUAUCUUUUCCCUUCUUUACCUCUGUUCUUCGCAGACUUGAGAGAGCCUCGCAUCCUGUUAUGACUCAAGCUGCACAAAAGCAACUCAUUUGUUAUUUUAGAUGCUAUUAGUAUAAGCUUUAGUGAUUUAUCACCUACAAAUUACUUUUAUUUAGGUUUGUUGCACCUUCUUCAGUCUUGGUUGAGUAUUAGCAACUUCAGUCCUGUUGAGUUUUACAUGUUUUCUUUCAUUUUUCUCUUCUUUGAGUACCAUGUGUUGUUUGACCUCUUUGAGAAUUCUCAUGCCAUUCAAUCAUGUGUGAUUUAGGUUCUAAAAUUUACAUACUUAUUACAGAAUUUGAGUUGAUAUUGUAUUUCAUUUUGCAAUUUUCAGGUGUUCUCUUAAGCCCAAUUAAAUCUGACAAAAAGUUAGUUUUCCGGAGUUUCUAAUUCACAAAAAGUGCAGCAUGAGGUUUAUUAUUCCUUCAAGAAAUUUGCCGAAGAAGUUGUUAACAUGACUUCUUUUAGAAGAAGGAAAAGUUUGAAUUUCUCAUUUCCUAUGCCAAAUAAGUUUUCAUACUGGUGUUAUGAUUCUAACUUUUAUUUAACAAAGUAACUGGUUUUUAUCUGUUAUUGGAUGCUGGAGUUUUUGAUGCAUCUUAGUUGCAUGUUGUACAAUAUAUGAAAAUAGUCUAACUUUCAACCAGCAGUAGACAAUAGCUGUUAGGUUUCAGGUUGUGGUAAAUUUUACCUCAAGUAGUUUAUACCUAAAGAAUUCAAUAGAUUUUGGUUGGGCCACAUCCAUGCUCCUUUAUUAGUUCUAAAGACAAACUUUGGUGGGGACCUGGUGCAGAUAUUAACAUGGAUUAUGUUUUAGCAAGAUAUAGUUUAAUUUGAUUAAAAUUAUAUUCUAUUAUACUUGCACAGAUUUCUCUCCCCCAUUUCCCUCUUAAAAUGAUGCUUGAUAUGGAUUCUUUGCUUUUGAAUUAAAUUCCGUUGGCUGCAGAUUUGAUUUUCGGGGUUUGGUGUACUGAUUUUGUGGUUUUGACUGAAUAAAUUGAGGGUUUAUCCAUUUCCAGCAUGUUCUUGGCUGAAUAAGUUGUUUCUAUAAGCAGUGUUGGGAAUGGAAUUAUGUUAUUUUGAUAUAACAUUUUACUUUGCAGGUUUCCUGGCUUCAAAUUAUUCAUGUACUUCCGCUCUUGUGUGAACUUUUGGAUGAGUAUGGAAGGAAACCGCUUCUCUGUUUGACCAUGUCUACUUCCAUUUUCCUAUUGAUCGUCCAACGUGAUAAGGAGCAAGAUGAGAAUGAAGGAAAAGACCCACUUGAGUUUCAUAUAAGCUACUACUACCACUAUUAUAGAUCCUAGUUUUUCUAGGUUUUAGUUAUUCUGUUUAGUAGAUACAAUUUGUAUUUUUGAUGAUCUUUUGGAAUAUUUAGUUAGUAACAUUUAUAUACGAUGGAAUUUGGUUAGUAACAUUAUCAUGUACUAUGGAUUUUGGUUAAUUAGUAACAUUAUCGUGUACGAUGGAUUUUAAUUAUGUACUUCUACAUUUGUAUAAGGCAA